UAGUGAAGGCCAGGUGUGUCAAGAGACUC
rnacentral:piRNA from 1 species